rnacentral:lncRNA from 1 species
GGAGACCCUGAAGGACCUGGACAAGUGCUAUGAGAAGGUCCGCCGCGACACGGACUGCGCGCAGAAGCCGCGGGUGCCACCCUGCGCCCAGCGGGCCCUGAUCCGCAGCUAGGAGCCGGGCGAUCAGAAGAUCCAGAUCAAGAGCCAGAGGGUGGAGCUGGUGGAGAGCCUCACGCGGCAGGUAGACAGCCACGUGGAGCCGUUCCACCCGCAGCAGGAGCAGGGCGACGCAGCGCGACGGCGGCAAGGUCGGCCCGGACAGGCCCAGGGGCGAGGCGGACGCGCAGGCGGAGAAGUCCAACAGCAAAGCGUUCUCGGCGGCAGCGCAACAACUAGAACCGUGAGAACGCGUCCAGCAACCGCGACCACGACGACGUCACCUCGGGCACGCCCAAGGAGAAGAAAGCCCAGACCUCUAAGAAGAAGCAGAGCUCCAUGGCCAAGGCGUAGCGGCAGGCGUCCCCCGCAGACCUCCCCAUCGACCCCAGCGAGCCCUCCUACUGGGAGAUGAUCCGCUGCGACAACGAAUGCCCCAUCGAGUGGUUCCGCUUCUCGUGUGUGAGUCUCAACCAUAAACCAAAGCGCAAGUGGUACUGUUCCAGAUGCCGGGGAAAGAACGAUGGGCAAAGCCCUUGAGAAGUCCAGAAAAAAAACAGGGCUUAUAACAGGUAGUUUGGGGACAUGCGUCUAAUAGUGAGGAGAACAAAAUAAGCCAGUGUGUUGAUUACAUUGCCACCUUUGCUGAGGUGCAGGAAGUGUAAAAUGUAUAUUUUUAAAGAAUGUUGUUAGAGGCCGGGCGCGGUGGCUCACGCCUGUAAUCCCAGCACUUUGGGAGGCCGAGGCGGUCGGAUCACGAGGUCAGGAGAUCGAGACCAUCCUGGCUAACACGGUGAAACCCCGUCUCUACUAAAAAUUCAAAAAAAAAAUUAGCUGGGCGUGGUGGCGGGCGCCUGUAGUCCCAGCUAUUCGGGAGGCUGAGGCAGGAGAAUGGCAUGAACCUGGGAGGUGGAGCUUGCAGUGAGCCAAGGUCGCGCCACUGCACUCCAGCCUGGGCGACAGAGCGAGACUCCAUCUCAAAAAAAAAAAAAAAAAAAGAAUGUUAGAAAAGGAGCCAUUCCUUUUAUAGGGAUGGGAGUGAUUCUCUUUGCCUUUUGUUUUCGUUGGCAGACAUGUGUAACAACAAAAUGGUCUGUUAUCAACAUUUUAGAAACUACAAAUAUAGGUUUGA